rnacentral:rRNA from 1 species
CCUACGGGAGGCAGCAGUGAGGAAUAUUGGUCAAUGGCCGGAAGGCUGAACCAGCCAAGUCGCGUGAGGGACGACUGCCCUAUGGGUUGUAAACCUCUUUUAUAAGGGAAGAAGAAAUGCUACGUGUAGCAUGAUGCCUGUACCUUAUGAAUAAGCAUCGGCUAAGCCCGUGCCAGCAGCCGAGGUAAUACGGAGGAUGCGAGGGUUAUCCGGAUUUAUUGGGUUUAAAGGGUGCGUAGGCGGGUUAUCAAGUCAGCGGUAAAAUCGUGGAGCUCAACUCCACCCCGCCGUUGAUACUGGUGAUCUUGAGUGGGCGAGAAGUAUGCGGAAUGCGUGGUGUAGCGGUGAAAUGCAUAGAUAUCACGCAGAACUCCGAUUGCGAAGGCAGCAUACCGGCGCCCUACUGACGCUGAGGCACGAAAGCGUGGGUAUCGAACAGGAUUAGAUACCCUUGUAGUC